rnacentral:SRP_RNA from 1 species
AUUAGUGGAUCCCGCGAAAGGGAGUUGUGAAUCGAGUCAGGCCUGAAAUAUGGAGCAGCUCUAAGCGGCGUAACUUUGUGCGGGAUCCACUAAUCGG